UAGGGAAUCUUCCACAAUGGACGCAAGUCUGAUGGAGCAACGCCGCGUGAGUGAAGAAGGUUUUCGGAUCGUAAAGCUCUGUUGUUGGUGAAGAAGGAUAGAGGUAGUAACUGGCCUUUAUUUGACGGUAAUCAACCAGAAAGUCACGGCUAACUACGUGCUA
rnacentral:rRNA from 1 species